GUUGUUGGGUAGGGGAGCGUUCUGUAAGCCUGCGAAGGUGGCCUGUGAGGGUUGCUGGAGGUAUCAGAAGUGCGAAUGCUGACAUAAGUAACGAUAAAGCGGGUGAAAAGCCCGCUCGCCGGAAGACCAAGGGUUCCUGUCCAACGUUAAUCGGGGCAGGGUGAGUCGACCCCUAAGGCGAGGCCGAAAGGCGUAGUCGAUGGGAAACGGGUUAAUAUUCCCGUACUUGGUGUUACUGCGAAGGGGGGACGGAGAAGGCUAUGUUGGCCGGGCGACGGUUGUCCCGGUUUAAGCGUGUAGGUGUGUGUUCCAGGUAAAUCCGGUUCACUUUAACACUGAGGCGUGACGACGAGGCACUACGGUGCUGAAGCAACAAAUGCCCUGCUUCCAGGAAAAGCCUCUAAGCAUCAGGUAACAUCAAAUCGUACCCCAAACCGACACAGGUGGUCAGGUAGAGAAUACCAAGGCGCUUGAGAGAACUCGGGUGAAGGAACUAGGCAAAAUGGUGCCGUAACUUCGGGAGAAGGCACGCUGACACGUAGGUGAAGUGAUUUACUCAUGGAGCUGAAGUCAGUCGAAGAUACCAGCUGGCUGCAACUGUUUAUUAAAAACACAGCACUGUGCAAACACGAAAGUGGACGUAUACGGUGUGACGCCUGCCCGGUGCCGGAAGGUUAAUUGAUGGGGUCAGCGCAAGCGAAGCUCCUGAUCGAAGCCCCGGUAAACGGCGGCCGUAACUAUAACGGUCCUAAGGUAGCGAAAUUCCUUGUCGGGUAAGUUCCGACCUGCACGAAUGGCGUAAUGAUGGCCAGGCUGUCUCCACCCGAGACUCAGUGAAAUUGAACUCGCUGUGAAGAUGCAGUGUACCCGCGGCAAGACGGAAAGACCCCGUGAACCUUUACUAUAGCUUGACACUGAACAUUGAGCCUUGAUGUGUAGGAUAGGUGGGAGGCUUUGAAGCGUGGACGCCAGUCUGCGUGGAGCCGACCUUGAAAUACCACCCUUUAAUGUUUGAUGUUCUAACGUGGACCCGUGAUCCGGGUUGCGGACAGUGUCUGGUGGGUAGUUUGACUGGGGCGGUCUCCUCCUAAAGAGUAACGGAGGAGCACGAAGGUUGGCUAAUCCUGGUCGGACAUCAGGAGGUUAGUGCAAUGGCAUAAGCCAGCUUGACUGCGAGCGUGACGGCGCGAGCAGGUGCGAAAGCAGGUCAUAGUGAUCCGGUGGUUCUGAAUGGAAGGGCCAUCGCUCAACGGAUAAAAGGUACUCCGGGGAUAACAGGCUGAUACCGCCCAAGAGUUCAUAUCGACGGCGGUGUUUGGCACCUCGAUGUCGGCUCAUCACAUCCUGGGGCUGAAGUAGGUCCCAAGGGUAUGGCUGUUCGCCAUUUAAAGUGGUACGCGAGCUGGGUUUAGAACGUCGUGAGACAGUUCGGUCCCUAUCUGCCGUGGGCGCUGGAGAACUGAGGGGGGCUGCUCCUAGUACGAGAGGACCGGAGUGGACGCAUCACUGGUGUUCGGGUUGUCAUGCCAAUGGCACUGCCCGGUAGCUAAAUGCGGAAGAGAUAAGUGCUGAAAGCAUCUAAGCACGAAACUUGCCCCGAGAUGAGUUCUCCCUGAGACUUAGAGUCUCCUGAAGGAACGUUGAAGACGACGACGUUGAUAGGCCGGGUGUGUAAGCGCAGCGAUGCGUUGAGCUAACCGGUACUAAUGAACCGUGAGGCUUAACCUU
rnacentral:rRNA from 1 species